rnacentral:rRNA from 1 species
UGAAAUUCGCCUUCAUGAAGCCGGAAUUGCUAGUAAUGGCAGGUCAGCAUACUGCCGUGAAUACGUUCCCGGGCCUUGUACACACCGCCCGUCACACCAUGAGAGUUGGGGAUACCCGAAGCCUGUGAGCUAACUAUUUAUAGGAGCAGCAGUCGAAGGUAGAAUCAAUGAUUGGGGUGAAGUCGUAACAAGGUACC